GUCUACAGCCUCACCACCCUGAACCCGCCCGAUCACGUCUGCUUUCGGAAGCUAAGCAGGGCUGGGCCUGGUUAGUACUUGGACGGGAGAACAUCUGCCAGUCAAGGUGCUGGGUGCC
rnacentral:rRNA from 1 species